GUUUCAGUUACCUGAGGUCAACCACUAUCAGGAUGCAGAUGAUCCUUCUAAUAUAUCAUCAAAGGGACAAUAGUGGCCUAAUGCUAUGUCACAAUGCCUGUGUCAUUCACUUCACUUCAUCUCAUCACUAGGCAUUUUAUCCUCUCACAUCAAAAGAAGAAGGGACUUUUCAGUUUCUUUGCUGGUUACAGGAGCGCCAUCUUUUGACAAGAUGUGGAAUUUCAUAAAAGAGGACUUAAGGGAACUGAAGACAAACUAGUCAAGGCUUACCUUGUUCUCUUUAUUAAAUGGGUUAUUGUCUAGGGUUACCAUGUUUUCUAAACUAGAAGAAAG
rnacentral:lncRNA from 1 species